rnacentral:rRNA from 1 species
UACGAAGGGGACUAGCGUUGUUCGGAAUCACUGGGCGUAAAGCGCACGUAGGCGGAUGUGUCAGUCAGGGGUGAAAUCCCGGGGCUCAACCUCGGAACUGCCUUUGAUACAGCACGUCUCGAGUCCGGAAGAGGUGGGUGGAAUUCCUAGUGUAGAGGUGAAAUUCGUAGAUAUUAGGAAGAACACCGGUGGCGAAGGCGGCCCACUGGUCCGGUACUGACGCUGAGGCACGAAAGCGUGGGGAUCAAACAGG